ensembl:snoRNA SNORA71 Small nucleolar RNA SNORA71
CCCUGCAUCCAAAAGUGGUCAUGGGCUGCGUGUGCUUUGGCCAUUGAUAGUGCAGGGAGGGUAAUGCUGAAAAAAUUUUCCCCGUUUGGAGGCUCACAACUGUCCCUGCUGGACUCCGGGGCUUUCCCACA